rnacentral:rRNA from 1 species
CAAGGGGAACUUUCCUGACCGAUGCUCAUGCCGCGUGAGUGAAAGUUUGGGUUGUAACCUUUUGUAGGGAAGAUAUGACUGUACCCUAAAAUAAGGUCCGGCUACUUCGUGCCANCCCGCGGUAAUACAAGGACCUACGUAUUCGGAAUUACUGGGCGUAAAGCGCGCGUAGCCGUUGAGUAGUUAAUUGUGAAAUCCCAAAGCUUACUUUGGAACUGCAAUUAAAACUGCUCGACUAAGUUGAUAGAGGAAAGCGGAAUACAUAGUGUAGAGGUGAAAUCGUAAUAUAUGUAGAACACCAGUUGCGAAGGCGGCUUUCUGGGUCAACACUGACGCUGAGGCGCGAAAGUAUGGGUAGCAAAGAGGAUUAGAUACCCUCGUAGUCCAUACCAUAAACGAUGAUUGCUAGAUGUUGGAAAUUUAUUUUCAGUAUCGCAGCUAACGCAUUAAGCAAUCCGCCUGGGGAGUACGACCGCAAGGUUAA